rnacentral:rRNA from 1 species
GAUGAACGCUGGCGGCGCGCCUAACACAUGCAAGUCGAACGAUUAAAGCACCUUCGGGUGUGUAUAAAGUGGCGAACGGCUGAGUAACACGUGAGCAACCUGCCCCUUUCAUUGGGAUAGCCACGGGAAACCGUGGAUAAUACCGAAUACUUCGAGACUUCCGCAUGGAAGACUCGAGAAAGCUCCGGCGGAGAGGGAUGGGCCCGCGGCCUGUUAGCUUGUUGGUGGGGUAACGGCCUACCAAGGCAAUGAUGGGUAGCUGGGUUGAGAGACCGACCAGCCAGAUUGGGACUGAGACACGGCCCAGACUCCUACGGGAGGCAGCAGUGGGGAAUCUUGCACAAUGGGCGAAAGCCUGAUGCAGCGACGCCGCGUGCGGGAUGAAGGCCUUCGGGUUGUAAACCGCUUUCAGCAGGGACGAGGCGAAAGUGACGGUACCUGCAGAAGAAGCCCCGGCUAACUACGUG